rnacentral:rRNA from 1 species
GCUCAGAUGCGAAAGCGUGGGUAGCAAACAGGAUUAGAUACCCUGGUAGUCCACGCCGUAAACGCUGUCUACUUGGAGGUUGAGGUUUUAGACUUUGGCUUUCGGCGCUAACGCAUUAAGUAGACCGCCUGGGGAGUACGGCCGCAAGGUUAAAACUCAAAUGAAUUGACGGGGGCCCGCACAAGCGGUGGAGCAUGUGGUUUAAUUCGAUGCAACGCGAAGAAUCUUACCUACUCUUGACAUCCAGCGAAGCCUUUAGAGAUAGAGGCGUGCCUUCGGGAGCGCUGAGACAGGUGCUGCAUGGCUGUCGUCAGCUCGUGUUGUGAAAUGUUGGGUUAAGUCCCGCAACGAGCGCAACCCUUAUCCUUGUUUGCCAGCACGUAAUGGUGGGAACUCCAGGGAGACUGCCGGUGAUAAACCGGAGGAAGGUGGGGACGACGUCAAGUCAUCAUGGCCCUUACGAGUAGGGCUACACACGUGCUACAAUGGCAGAUACAGAGGGCAGCGAGACAGCGAUGUUUAGCGAAUCCCUUAAAGUUUGUCGUAGUCCGGAUUGGAGUCUGCAACUCGACUCCAUGAAGUCGGAAUCGCUAGUAAUCGUGGAUCAGAAUGCCACGGUGAAUACGUUCCCGGGCCUUGUACACACCGCCCGU